CCUACGGGUGGCAGCAGUGGGGAAUAUUGCACAAUGGGGGAAACCCUGAUGCAGCGACGCCGCGUGAGUGAAGAAGUAUUUCGGUACGUAAAGUUCUAUCAGCAGGGAAGAAAAUGACGGUACCUGACCAAGAAGCCCCGGCUAACUACGUGCCAGCAGCCGCGGUAAUACGUAGGGGGCAAGCGUUAUCCGGAUUUACUGGGUGUAAAGGGAGGGUGGACGGCAGCGGAAGUCUGGAGGGAAAUCCCAUGGCUGAACCAUGGAACUGCUUUGGAAACUGUGCAGCUAGAGUGCAGGAGAGGUAAGCGGAAUGCCUAGUGUAGCGGUGAAAUGCGUAGAUAUUAGACGGAACACCAGUGGCGAAGGCGGCUUACUAGACUGUGACUGACGUUGAGGCUCGAAAGCGUGGGGAGCAAACAGGAUUAGAUACCCCUGUAGUC
rnacentral:rRNA from 1 species